CUUUCCCUGCGUUGUACGUGCUUAGAAGCAAAUCCUUGAACCGUAAUUAUAUGUAGGAAGGGACUCUGGCCGCGGACGUUGAUGUGCAAGCCUGCCUUGAGUAGGAAACACGUGACCCGUCGGACCUGUCCCAUUGUUUCUCGUUCCGUUCAAAGGAACUGUUCACACGGCAAUUGCGGGGUUUUU
rnacentral:other from 2 species